GAUGAACGCUAGCUACAGGCUUAACACAUGCAAGUCGAGGGGUAACAAGAGAAAAGCUUGCUUUUCUUGUUGACGACCGGCGCACGGGUGAGUAACGCGUAUCCAACCUGCCUAUAACUAGGGAAUAACCUUGCGAAAGUAAGACUAAUGCCCUAUGACUUCCUUUGGCGGCAUCAAAAAAGGAAUAAAGAUUUAUCGGUUAUAGAUGGGGAUGCGUCUGAUUAGCUUGUUGGCGGGGUAACGGCCCACCAAGGCAACGAUCAGUAGGGGUUCUGAGAGGAAGGUCCCCCACAUUGGGACUGAGACACGGUCCAAACUCCUACGGGAGGCAGCAGUGAGGAAUAUUGGUCAAUGGGCGGAAGCCUGAACCAGCCAAGUAGCGUGCAGGAUGACGGCCCUAUGGGUUGUAAACUGCUUUUAUACAGGGAUAAAGUUAGCCACGUGUGGUUAUUUGCAGGUACUGUAUGAAUAAGGACCGGCUAAUUCCGUGCCAGCCGCCGCGGUAA
rnacentral:rRNA from 1 species